AGAGUUUGAUCCUGGCUCAGGAUGAACGCUAGCGGCAGGCUUAACACAUGCAAGUCGAGGGGUAUAUAGUCUUCGGAUUAUAGAGACCGGCAAACGGGUGCGGAACACGUACACAACCUACCUUUAUCAGGGGAAUAGCCCAGAGAAAUUUGGAUUAAUGCCCCAUAGUAUAAUUGAAUGGCAUCAUUUGAUUAUUAAAGAACUUCGGAUAGAGAUGGGUGUGCGUAAGAUUAGCUAGUUGGUAAGGUAACGGCUUACCAAGGCGACGAUCUUUAGCUGAUGUGAGAGCAUGAUCAGCCACACGGGCACUGAGACACGGGCCCGACUCCUACGGGAGGCAGC
rnacentral:rRNA from 1 species